rnacentral:rRNA from 1 species
CCCUUAGAUGUUCUGGGCCGCACGCGCGCUACACUGAUGCAUUCAACGAGUCUAAAACCUGCUCUGAUAGGGGUGGGUAAUCUUUUGAAUGUGCAUCGUGAUUGGGAUAGAUGAUUGAAAUUUUUCAUCUUCAACGAGGAAUGCCUAGUAAACGCAAGUCAUCAGCUUGCAUUGAUUACGUCCCUGCCCUUUGUACACACCGCCCGUCGCUCCUACCGAUUGAAUGGUCCGAUGAAUAUCAUGGAUUGAGGAUGCAAGUAGGUUCACCUAUCUUCAUCUUCGAGAAGUGAAGUAAAUCUUAUCAUUUAGAGGAAGGAGAAGUCGUAACA